rnacentral:rRNA from 1 species
UUUCGGACGACCGCUGGCGGCAGGCCUAACACAUGCAAGUCGAACGCGUGCCUUCGGGCACGAGUGGCGGACGGGUGAGUAACGCGUGGGAAUUUGCCUUGGGGUACGGAAUAACCGCGGGAAACUGCGGCUAAUACCGUAUACGUCCUUCGGGAGAAAGAUUUAUCGCCCUGAGAUGAGCCCGCGUCCGAUUAGGUAGUUGGUGAGGUAACGGCUCACCAAGCCUUCNAUCGGUAGCUGGUCUGAGAGGAUGAUCAGCCACACUGGGACUGAGACACGGCCCAGACUCCUACGGGAGGCAGCAGUGGGGAAUAUUGGACAAUGGGGGAAACCCUGAUCCAGCCAUGCCGCGUGAGUGAAGAAGGCCUUAGGGUUGUAAAGCUCUUUCGGUGGUGACGAUGAUGACGGUAGCCACAGAAGAAGCCCCGGCUAACUCCGUGCCAGCAGCCGCGGUAAUACGGAGGGGGCAAGCGUUGUUCGGAAUUACUGGGCGUAAAGGGCGCGUAGGCGGAUGAUCAAGUCAGAGGUGAAAGCCCUGGGCUCAACCUAGGAGGUGCCUUUGAAACUGAUUGUCUUGAGUACGGGAGAGGAUAGCGGAAUUCCCAGUGUAGAGGUGAAAUUCUAGAUAUUGGGAAGAACACCAGUGGCGAAAGCCGGCUAUCUGGCCCCGUAACUGACGCUGAGGCCCCAAAGCGUGGGGGGCAAAC